AACGAACGCUGGCGGCAUGCCUAACACAUGCAAGUCGAACGAGACCUCCGGGUCUAUUGGCGCAUGGCUGUGUAACGCGUGGGAACCUGCCCUUAGGUUCGGAAUACCUCUCCGAAAGGGGUGCUAAUACCAGAUAAUGUCUUCGGACCAAAGAUUUAUUGCCAUUGGUUGGGCCCGCGUUGGAUUAGCUAGUUGGUAGGGUAAAAGCUUACUAAGGCGACGAUCCAUAGCUGGUAUGAGAGGAUGAUCAGCAACACUGGGACUAAGACACGGCCCAGAAUCCUACGGUAGGGAGCAGUGGGGAAUAUUGGACAAUGGGCGGAGGCCUGAUCCAGCAAUGCCGGGUGAGUGAUGAAGGCCUUAGGGUUGUAAUGCUCUUUUACCCGGGAUGAUAAUGACGGUACCGGGUGAAUAAGCUCCGGCUAACUACGUG
rnacentral:rRNA from 1 species